UGGUUUAAAAUUUGAGAGCGGUCCUUGGAAAACAGCUGUUUGUUACGUCAGUUGGUAGUUUCUCAGGUGUGGAUUAGAAUAAGUUAGUUUGGUGCUAGUAUGUUGCCAGACACACAGGAAAACGGAGCUUGAAGUGUUUGCCCAGGAGAAAGGCAUCUUCAUCUCUGGUUGCUGCAGAACCAGGAACGAGGCGUCACCAGGUCCCAGAAACUAUUCUGGUGAGACGGAGAAGAAAAAUUGUUCUAACUACUCAUACAACACUCCUCCUCCUUCACGGUGGUAUUAUCUGACUGCAAAGAGGCAGAACAUGACCGGAUAGAAGAAGCCAAAGCCCAUAGUGAUGGCGUACUCGUGGACGGCAGCGGAGACUAUGAACA